rnacentral:sRNA from 1 species
GAAAUAGAUUCCAAGAAAAAAGUGCCAAACAUUGGUUCAAGGAAAAAGCGGGUCAUAAUAUUGGGUCAAGGAUAAGGCUCAAACUUAAAUCUCAGAAGUCAAAGGAACAAUGUUUCCAAGCGUGUUUUGUGUUCAAGUAUAAUUUAUAAUUCAAGACGGCUCCACGAAUUUUGUUAUCAGUACACACUACAAUCACACCCACUCACAUAUACCUCACCCCGAACACACACAUACUCGACACACACACACGCACAAACAGGUCACUCAACAUUAUAUUUUAAAAGGAAAAAAAAGGUAAUAAAAGUAGCAUUUAUGCAAGACUACUGGAUAGGACUGAAACUCUGGGACUCUAUGCCUUAAGUCAAAUCAUAGUUUUGACCUCUUUGAUUUAGUUCUGUUACAGCAAACAUGUAACAUUUCAUUUCCCGCUUGACGAAAAAUUAUUCGGUAGCACUUUUUAAACUUCUUCAGUACAAAAUUCAAAUAGAAUAAACUUUAGAUCGCAAGCAUAUGCUUUGAGAGGGACGAUGUAGCGAGAGAAAAUCAACUAAAACAACUUUGAAUUUCAAUAAAUAUACAUCGAAUUUGUUUCUUUGUUUUAGAUCUAAGUUUUUGACAUUUUCUUAAGAAAAGAAGAUUUUUAAAUCCUUGCCCGAACGUUCCGAAGAAUUUAGGGAGUUCAGAGAGCAGGGGGUGAUCAUUGUGUUGACAGUUUGAAGCAGACAACAACAGGAAGGCAAGACAGACAAACCAGAACAAAGAAAUGCCAGAGCCAUCAAGUUUUCAUAACUCUCAGCCAUUGCAAGUUAAUCUAGAGAAUAUAUCCCAGGCUAAACAUGAUGCUUACGGUGUUUCAUAC